rnacentral:rRNA from 1 species
UCUUGGUUCAGGACGAACGCUGGCGGCGUGCUUCAUACAUGCAAGUCGAACGAGAAGCUGACUUCGGUCAGUGGAAAGUGGCGGACGGGUGAGUAAUGUGUAGAGAAUCUGCCCUUGAGUGGGGGACGAACAGAGGGAAACUUCUGCUAAUACCCAUAUGAGCUUAGUUGAAAUACUAAUCUUGAAAAACUCCGGUGCUCAAGGAUGAGUCUGCAUCUGAUUAGCUAGUUGGCGGUGUAAUGGACCACCAAGGCGACGAUCAGUAGCUGGUUUGAGAGGAUGAUCAGCCACAAUGGGACUGAGACACGGCCCAUACUCCUACGGGAGGCAGCAGUAGGGAAUUUUGCGCAAUGGGCGAAAGCCUGAACCGCAGCAACGCCGCGUGAACGAUUAAGCCCUUCGGGGUGUAAAGUUCUGUCAGUAGGGACGAAUCUUGACGGUACCUACAGAGGAAGCACCGGCUAACUCCGUGCCAGCCGCUGC